rnacentral:rRNA from 1 species
CCUUUGACGUUAGCGGCGGACGGGUGAGUAACACGUGGGUAACCUACCUAUAAGACUGGGAUAACUUCGGGAAACCGGAGCUAAUACCGGAUAAUAUUUCGAACCGCAUGGUUCGAUAGUGAAAGAUGGUUUUGCUAUCACUUAUAGAUGGACCCGCGCCGUAUUAGCUAGUUGGUAAGGUAACGGCUUACCAAGGCGACGAUACGUAGCCGACCUGAGAGGGUGAUCGGCCACACUGGAACUGAGACACGGUCAGACUCCUACGGGAGGCAGCAGCC